GUGGCACUUGUGGGAGCUCUGCUGCCAACUCUGCAUCUUCUUUGAGCUUUUUCUCAGAGGUCUGACCAGGAUUAGUCUCAGACCCCAUUCCUCAGGAUAGGGGCAGCAAGGUUCCCAGCCUGGGACUCAUCCAACAAAAUAGCCAUCCUAGAUGCUUGGAUUCACUUUACUUUGGCUUCUCUCCCACACCACAUUCUGGCCUGGAUCUGGGUGGGACAGCUGCCCUGCUUCCAGGCAUGCAUUCACCCCGCUCUCAAGCAGCUGGAGAGGCCCACAGCUUCCAGGCUAUGGAACUUGGUCCUCAGGUGGCGGGGCUUGGUUCCCACAUGGGGAAGAUGCAGCAAGACCUCCC